GCGUAGGGUACGUAGGUGGAUAGUAAAAAAUGUAGUAAAAAACUGAGGAUGAACCUCUUAAAGCUAUGUUCACUAACUAUCUUGAGUUUUAUGGGCGAUAUUGAAUUCCUUAAGUAAGGGUUAAAUUGUUGAUAUUGGAAGACAUUCGAAGGCGAAAGCGGUAGUCGACGUAGAUCUGACACUAGGUACUAAAGCAUGGGUAGAAAAAGGAUUAGAGACCUUGUAGUCCAUGCCUUAAACAAUGAGUGUUCAACGUCUAAAUAUGUUAUUGUCACCGCAGUGAUGACAAUACGUCAUACUUAGGGGUUUAUAGCUAACGCGUGAAACACCGCCUGGGGAAUGUGGCCGCAAGGUUAAACUCAAAGGAAUUGACGGAGGCUUGUACAAGG
rnacentral:rRNA from 1 species